rnacentral:rRNA from 1 species
GGUCUGAGAGGAUGAUCCGCCACACUGGGACUGAGACACGUCCCAGACUCCUACGGGAGGCAGCCAUGGGGAAUUUUGCACCAUGGGCGUAAGCCUGAUCCAGCCAUCCCGCCUGUCUGAAGAAGGCCUUCGGGUUGUAAAGGACUUUUGUCCGGGAGCAAAUCCCAAUGGUUUAUACCUACUGGGGCUGAGAGUACCGGAAGAAUAAGCACCGGCUAACUCCUUGCCAGCAGCCGCCGUUAUUCGUAGGGUGCAAGCGUUAAUCGGAAUUACUGGGCGUAAAGCGUGCGCAGGCGGUUGUGCAAUUCUGAUGUGAAAUUCCCGGGCUCCACCUGGGAACGGCUUUGGAGACUG